CAUUAGUAUAUAUUAAAGUUGUUGCAGUUAAAACGCCCGUAGUCGAACUUUGGGCCCGGGCGCUCGGUCUUGCCGAGAGGCUUGUACUGUUUGCCUGGGUCUUUCCUUCUGCGAAACUAGUGUGCUCUUCAUUGAGUGCGCUAGGGAAGCAGGACUUUUACUGUGAAAAAAUUAGAGUGUUUAAAGCAGGCGUUUGCUUGAAUACAUUAGCAUGGAAUAAUAAAAUAGGACUUUGGUUCUAUUUUGUUGGUUUCUUGAACCAAAGUAAUGAUUAAUAGGGAUAGUUGGGGACGUUAGUAUUUAAUUGUCAGAGGUGAAAUUCUUGGAUUUAUGAAAGACUAGCUUCUGCGAAAGCAUUCGUCAAGGAUGUUUUCAUUGA
rnacentral:rRNA from 1 species